AAUGAUAGAACCAAGACAUGAACUUGGCACUUACAUGCUUAACUUUCUUACCUGUAUACACCUUGGUCAUUAAAACAUAAGUGAUGCCAGAGGCUCACUCACGCCUGUAAUCCCAACAUUUUGGGAGGCCGAAGCAGGCAGACUACAAGGUCAGGAGUUCGAGACCAGCCUGACCAGCAUGGUGAAACCCCGUCUCGACUAAAAAUAGAAAAAUUAGCCAGGCAUGGUGGCGCACACCUGUAGUCCCAGCUACUCGGGAAGCUGGGGCAGGAGAAUCACUUGACCCCAGGAGGUGGAGGUUGCAGUGAGCCAAGAUGGUGCCACUGCCCUCCAGCCUGGGUGACAGAGCGAGACUCUGUCUCAAAAAAAAAAAAAAAAAUAAGUGAUGCAGUGUGUACAAGCAGCUUAUAGUGGUGGGGUGUUUUGGGAAGGCGAUAAGCACUGUUUAUUCUAACUACUCAAAAACUUAUGCAAAUGACAAACCCGGUAUUUCACUCUCAUGUCUUAAAAUUGUACACACUGUUCCUGCUUAGCACACUGACUAUUAUUUCAGGAGCUUCAGACUUUACUCCAGUUUUCUGUGGACUUUUCCUUUCUAUCUAUAUUCUGAACCCUUAUUCCCUUCCUCCCUCCCUCCUUUCCUUCCCUCUUUCUAUAUUCUGAACCCUUCCUUCCUCCCUGCCUCUCUCCCUCCGUCUCUCCCUUUCUUUUCUUUUCUUUGUUUCCAGAGUCUCUGUCACCCAAGCUCGAGUGCAGUGGCGUGAUCAUAGCUCAUUGCAACCUCAAACUCUUAGGCUCAAGCGAUCCCCCCACCUCUGCCUCCUGAGUAGCUAGAAUUAAAGGUGAAUGCCACCAUGCCUGGCUAAUUUUUCUUUUUUUUUUUAAGGAAAGGAUCUUGCUAUGUUGCCGAGACUGGUCUGGAACUCCUGGCCUCGAGCCAUCCUCCUGCCUCAGCCUCUCAAAGCACUGGAAUUACAAGCAUGAGCCACCACACCCAACCCGUAUGUCUUAACGGAAAUUUAAAAGCAAAUAUUAUUGAACUGACACAAAUGUUCACUUUGAAUGACAAAGGACACCUACCUUUAAUUAACUAUGGCCUUUGAAGUAUAACCUUAAAGCAAGAGAGUAAUGACCUAGUUUAUACAAAUCUAACAUAUUCGAAUAUUUUCCUGAACACAUCAGCUCCACAAAGGAAGGGAAGCGGAGCCCCUCCACAGGCAACUCAACCCAGCGCAGUAGGGACAGAGGAGGAGGCCGAAGGGACAGUGUCAGUUGACACUCUCAGCUCCACCAGGCAGGAGGAUGGGGAAGCAGAUCUCUCCCACGGACUCUGCCUUCUGAAAGACACAGGGGCAGGAGGCCAGGAGGACCUCCUGCAGAGCCAGCCUGUGUGCCACCGGGUGUCCAACGGAUUGGCUAAUGGGCCCACUGCUGCUGGCGGAGGGCAAGUCCUUUUAACACAACAGGCUUUUAUUCUCUUAGAAACACUUAAUAGCAGGCCGGUGUUGCGAGGCCUGGAAACGGCGCUCCCCUGCUGAGCUCACGCAAGUCAAAAGCUUUCAGCCAAACCAAGGAAAUGCCCUGCUGAAUAAAUCAGUGCCCUUCUCCUCGCUUUUCUUCUUUGCAAGCCGCCGGGAAGAACUUCCACCUGCAGACUGGAGCACCCCAAGUCAGGAGGCCAAAUUGCGGGCCCAUCUCCAACCCAGUCCUGCCCACAUGUAACCCAGGAAACACUGCUGUCUCACCAGCACGCCUCACCACACUGGGAAAGUUCUCCCGCCCAGUCCUGUAGCCAUCCCUCCCUGCACGCAGAAACGGGAGGUGCACCCAGGAAGCCCUGAGGCCUGGGAGACCCAUCUCCAUGGAGCACCCCACGAGGCAAGCACAGCACUCAGGCUCACCUGGGGCUGUGCCCCCUGACAGCUCAACCAGACAGACACACACGCCUCUCCGCAACUGGAUCUGGGUAAUAAUGUCACCUGGUACUGAAAAGGGAGCUGUUCCUCAAAAAUGCCAAAAAACGACAUAGGACUGGCCCGUGCUAGGGGUGGACUGAGUGAAUGGUGCACCAUUCCCUGUGGGUCAUUCGAAACAAGCUGCCUGUCUUUCAAGAAUCUGAAAGAUGCUGCCUGACAAAGCAGGACCGUGGCACUGGAUGUCCGUGAGGGUGCCUGAAGAAAAGUGGAAAUAAGCUGGUUUCACUUAGGCAAAGGGCAAGCCCACUGAGCUUUCUUACAGCAAAUUAGAAGCUUAAGCCCAGGAACCAGAAUGAACAUCACUGUGAUCAUGACUGGCAGCACAUGAUUCUGCCAUCAUACCCUUUUCGUUCCCAAACUCAAAGAGAUGCAUCUGGCCAGGUGCGGUGGCUUAUGCCUAUAAUCCCAGCACUUUGGGAGGCCGAGGCGGGUGGAUCACCUGAGGUCGGGAGUUUGAGACCAGCCUGACCAACAUGGAGAAACCCCAUCUCUACUAAAAAUACAAAAUUAGCCGGGCGUGGUGGUGCAUGCCUGUAAUCCCAGCUACUCAGGAGGCUGAGGCAGGAGAAUCGCUUAGAACCUGGGAAAAGGAGGUUGCAGGGAGCCGAGAUCGCGCCAUUGCACUCUAGCCUGGGCAACUAAGAGCAAAACUGUGUGUACAAAAAAACAAAAAAAAAAAGAGGUGCACCCUCCACAAGAAUACAGACUGAGGGCUGAGAUGCCCAACACAAAUGCGGCAAAGAGAGAAACCUCAUGCCUUGAUGGUGGGAAAGACUUAGCGUUCAGUCUCUGCUGGGACAAGGGAAUAAGACAAUGCACAGCUGGCUCUCUGCAACCUGAGAAGGCCAGCUGAUCCACAGGCCCCAAGUUCACGUCCUCGUUUGCAGUUUCAUCUCUUUCACGAUCAGGGGACUUUAGGUGGAAGUGCUGUCACUGGUGGACGACUCUUCCCCACUGGAUUCCAGAUCUUCCCCACUUUGCCCACCUUCCUGCAGGUCAUGAGGGCCCUGAGCUCAGCACUGCUGCUGCCCCUCGUGGGGAACGCUGCUGACUGCAUGGAUCGUUGUGAAGAUGAAGCGAGAUCAUGGACAUCAAUCACUAAGCACAAUUUCCUGCACACAAUACAUCAGAUGUUGCAAGGAGCUUAUUUAAAGAAAUGGAAGUUUAUCGUCAUGUCAAUGCUGUAUCUUUGAAGUUUUUGUGUGUGUGUGUUUUUUUUUUUUAAAGCAAGUAAUUCCCAUAAAAAUGGAACUCAAGGAGAAGGGAUAUCUCUUAAAGAAAUAACAGAGAUGGGGUCUUGCGAUGUUGCCCAGGCUGGUCUCCAAUUUCUGGUCACUGAGGAGCAAAGAAGCAAAAUGGAACAGAGGUGGCCUACGGUCAGAGAGUUCAUGGAAAUUUGCUGGUCCUGCCUUGAACACUCAGACCUGAAGCACACAUUCCUUUGCAUGGCUGCAGUAAACAGCAGCAUCAAGAUCCAGGGUUGGAGACCACUCUCCAGUAUUCUCCCGGCCUCCUUCAAUAGUGAUGCAUCUUAUUCCUCAAAGCAGCCAUGACGGUUCAUUCUUCAGAUCAAUAACUGCCUGCAUAGCUAUGUGCAACUGUGUCUUAGGCUACUCCACAGACUACAGUUGUUCUCUUAAUGUCAAGAACACAUUCUUGCAUGAUUAUUGGAUUAAACAAUUGUCUUCUAUCCCCACUCCCUUUCCCUACUCAUAAGGAAAAUCAAUUUAAGGCAUAUCACAUGAAAUGCUUAAUCCUUUGUGCAAAGAUAAAGGAGGGUGCCCAGGACAGAUGCAAAGAGUGGAAGAAGUGGGGACCACUCUGGGUGCAGGUGCAGUGACAGCUGAGGCUUCACAUCCCACAUCUGUACCCAAAUAUACCAUUUCUGCCCACCCAAGCAAAACAUUUUCCCAGAGUUAUGCUUUAAGCCUUUACAGGGAGCUGGAGAAUAAGAAGGGACUACUGAUAACUUCAGGACAUUAUGUUUGAGUAAAUAUAAGAGAACCCAAGGUAUGAGUCAACAAAGAGGGACCCUGGGUGCCCCGCCUGGUUCUCUGAGGAUGGCAAAGACCAGCAAUCAGAAAAGUCUCCUUGGGGGCUGGGCUCAGUGACUCACUCCUAUAAUUCCUGCACUUUGGGAGGGUGAGGUGGGAGGAUUGCUUGAGGCCAGGAGUUCCAGACCACCCUGGGCAACAUAACAAGACCCCAUCUCUUUAAAAAAAAGUUUUUUAAAUUAGCCAGAUGUGGGCACCUGUAGUCCCAGCUACUUGGUGGGGGUGGGGGUGUGGGUGGGGGUGGGGGAGAGUGCUGAGUCAGGAGGGUCACUUGAGCCCAGAAGGUGUUCAGUGAGCCAUAAUCCUGCCACUGCACUCCAGCCUAGGCAACAGAACGAGACCCUAUGUCUAAAAAAAAAAAAAAAGAAAAGAAAAGAAAGAAAAAGAAAACGUUCCUCAGGAAACUGUUCUGUUCUGUCAGCCCAGCACGAAAUCCUGUGGCAGGAACAUCAUGGAAGUAGUUUUACACAGGAAGAUUUGGUUGCUAGCAUACCAGCCAUACCAUAAGGUUGCCAAGUGAGUGUAGCAAUUGUGUAAUUAUUGUGGAAAUGUAGUUCUCAACCACAUCUUUCUUAUGGUAAUUAGUGUUGCUGGUUGAGCAUAUUAUUAUUAUUAUUGUACACUUCAAGUAUUAUUCCCCCUAUAUUCUUAUAAGAUUCAAUAAGGCAGUAGUAUUGCUGUGCUCCAGUUGUUUUUGCCUAUAGAAUAGGAAUUAGUAUACUUUCCAUACACCUUAAUGAUAAUACCACUAUGAACUCUAGAAAUAAUUCCAGCAUAUAGUGUGCUUAGAAUAAACUGCAUUUACAAAAACAAUACACUACACUAACGGUCUUUUUAACACGAUGUCAUACCCUGGUAUGCACAAAAGCCAGUGGAUCAGAAAGGCUGUGUUUAGAAUGUACUCUACGGCCAUAUUUACAGAGGAUGCAAAAUACACACAUGGACUCCAUUUCACACCCCAACCAGGCCUGUUAAAUGAACAAUUAAGAAACAAGGCCCAGCACAGUGGCUCUCUCCAGUCAUCCCAACACUUUGGGAGUCCAAGGCAGCAAGAUCACUCAAAGGCAGGAGUUCAAGACCAGCCUGGGCAACAUAGCAAGACUCCAUUUCUACAAAAAGAAAUUGUUAAAAAUUAGCCAGGAAUGGUGGUGUGCAUCUGAGGUCCCAGCUACUUGGGAGGCUGAGGUGGGAGGAUCACUUGAGCUGAGGAGUUCGACGCUGCAGUGAGCUAUGAUUCUGCCACCGCACUCCAGCCUGCGUGACAGAGUGAGACCUCAUCUCUUAAAGAAAAAAAAAAUCACACAAAAUAAAGCCCUGGAAAAACUAAAAACUUAAGAUUUUUAAGGGGAUUAUUU
rnacentral:lncRNA from 10 species